AGAAAAGGAAGCAACAGAGAGAUUUCCUGCCUGGCCUUAUGUUAUAUACCCUUAGUUGAGAUGAUGUGUUUUACAUCACAUCCUGUUCAUGCAUCACUUCCUUUAGCAAUUGUGGGAGGGAAGUAAAGAUUCUUAGCCCUCCUACCUAGACCUGUUUAAGGAGGUCCUGAAAGGAAGAUAAAUUACCAUGCAAGGAAGACAAGUUACCACA